rnacentral:rRNA from 1 species
CAGUAGCCACGGUAACACGUAGGGUGCGAGCGUUAAUCGGAAUUACUGGGCGUAAAGCGUGCGCAGGCGGUUCGUUAAGACAGAUGUGAAAUCCCCGGGCUUAACCUGGGAACUGCAUUUGUGACUGGCGAGCUAGAGUAUGGCAGAGGGGGGUAGAAUUCCACGUGUAGCAGUGAAAUGCGUAGAGAUGUGGAGGAAUACCGAUGGCGAAGGCAGCCCCCUGGGCCAAUACUGACGCUCAUGCACGAAAGCGUGGGGAGCAAACAGGAUUAGAUACCCGCGUAGUCCCUGUCUCUUAUAA